UACGUAGGUGGCGAGCGUUGUCCGGAUUUACUGGGCGUAAAGCGCGCGCAGGCGGACUGAUCAGUCUGGGGUGAAAUCUCACGGCUCGACUGUGAGCGGUCCCUGGAUACUGUCAGUCUUGAGAUGUCUAGAGGAGAGCGGAAUUCCCGGUGUAGUGGUGGAAUGCGUAGAUAUCGGGAAGAACACCAGUGGCGAAAGCGGCUCUCUGGGGACCAUCUGACGCUGAGGCGCGAAAGCGUGGGGAGCGAACCGG
rnacentral:rRNA from 1 species